GGCUUCCAGGAAGACACCACUGACUUUUGAGAGAAAGGCAUGGGAGUAAGAAAGUAAAGAAUUCAGAUCCUUCAAAGAGAGUUGUUGUUUCAUGAAGUACUGAGGAAUCUGUCACAGAAAACAUACACAUAGAAAUCAAAGAGCCCUGUGCCAGAAUGACUGCAGCAAGCAUUUCUUUUCAAGGCAAACGUUGAGCUGCCCUCUGGACUCCAAUGUAAAAGACGUGGAUAGU
rnacentral:lncRNA from 1 species